CAGCGGUGUGUUCAUUAGGUGAACUCUGCUCUAAACCCAAAGGGAAAAUUCUUUCUUUCCUUUGAUAUUUUCCCCCACCGGGGAUUACUUUUGGCCAUCCCAUUGGCAAGAUCUUGAGGGCCAAAAUUAAGAUUUGGAUCUACCAUAAAGUGUUUAAGAAAGGUUUUUUUUUUUCCUUUUAUUCUAGGUUUUAGACUAAAGGCCUAAUAUUUUCACUGUGGCUUGCAAGUAUGUCUGAUAUUCAGAUUUCCCUUGAAAAUCUGGUAGUAGAAAGACGCUUAUUAAAUAUUAGAGACAUGGAAUCCCAGCCACCUUUAACUCUUUCUUCAGAAAAUUGACCAAUAUGCAUUUUCUCCAUUUCAAAAUAAAUUGAAACAAUGAAAAAGCAUGUUACCAUAAACUACACCAGGCAUUUACUGUUUUAGAAUAGCUUUUGCCUCACACUGAACUUGCUGUUCAUAAAAACCUUUUUCAAAUGAAUUACUUAAGUUAUACUUCAUCUGUUCGGCAUUUGAGAAAUCAUUUUUAAGGCUCAAGGGUAGGCCUAAAAUAUGUCUCUAAUUUAAUCUUAUUAGUUUUUAGUCUGUCGAAAUAAUUUUAAAUAUUGAUUGCCACUCUACAUGUUACCUGGAAAAAAGGAAACAAGGAAAGAAAAAGAAAAGAGAGAUCAUUAUAAUUUGAAUAUAAGUAGUUAAUACAUUUAUUUAUUUAUUCAGGUCAACUAUCCACAGAAAUUACAAAAACAAAACUUUGUGUGCUAAAUUUGGUUUGAGACCUCUAGGUUUUAACCUUUUAUACCUACUAUG
rnacentral:lncRNA from 1 species